CGUGCCGUAGCUAAAGCGUUAAGUGUUCCGCCUGGGAAGUACGGCCGCAAGGUUGAAACUUCAAAGGAAUUGACGGGGGCCCGCACAAGCGGUGGAGCAUGUGGUUAAUUCGACGCAACGCGAAAAACCUUACCUGGGUUUGACAUGCCGAGGACCCCGAUGAAAGUCGGGGGUGCCCCGUAAGGGGAACCCGGAGACAGGUGCUGACAAGGCUGUCGUCAGCUCGUGUCGUGAGAUGUUGGGUUAAGUCCCGCAACGAGCGCAACCCUUGUCUUUAAUUGCCAUCAUUCAGUUGGGCACUUUAAAGAGACUGCCGGCGUUAAACCGGAGGAAGGUGGGGAUGACGUCAAGUCCUCAUGGCCUUUAUGCCCAGGGCUACACACGUGCUACAAUGGGUGGUACAAAGAGCAGCCAACUCGCGAGAGUGAGCAAAUCUCAAAAAGCCAUCCUCAGUUCGGAUUGGAGUCUGCAACUCGACUCCAU
rnacentral:rRNA from 1 species